GUUGAGGUCUAUCCCGAUGGGGCUUCCCUGUAAGCCCUUGUCGUUGGAAACGCCUCAGAGAGAAUUGUGGCUCGCCUGAUGCUCAGCCCACCUGUUGGGCCUGGGAGAUGGCUGCCCGACAGGC